rnacentral:misc_RNA from 1 species
GCGGAAGGAUCAUUACCGAGUGAGGGCCCUCUGGGUCCAACCUCCCACCCGUGUUUAUUUUACCUUGUUGCUUCGGCGGGCCCGCCUUAACUGGCCGCCGGGGGGCUUACGCCCCCGGGCCCGCGCCCGCCGAAGACACCCUCGAACUCUGUCUGAAGAUUGUAGUCUGAGUGAAAAUAUAAAUUAUUUAAAACUUUCAACAACGGAUCUCUUGGUUCCGGCA